AUGAAGGUCCUUAUUUUCAUCUUCAUCUCUGUGUUCCUACUUUUAGCCUUGCAUUUCUCCAUUGCAGCUGAUACCAUUUCUGCAUCAGAAUCCAUCACCGGCUCGGAUACCUUAGUUACUUCCAACCAAAGAUUUGUACUAGGACUCUUCUCCCCUCCCAAUUCUACAGCAUGGUACUUGGGACUAUGGUACAAGAAGUUUCCAGAUGUUGUUGUAUGGGUUGCAAACAGAGAAAACCCACUUCCAGAAUCCAAUGGAGCCUUGAAAUUAUCAGAAAAGGGCAGCCUUAUUCUCUCAGAUGAAAUGAACAACACAGUUUGGUCCUCCAAUUCUUCCAGAGUUGCCGAAAACCCAGUUGCGCAGCUUUUGGUGACAGGAAAUCUUGUUGUUAUAGACCAGGCGCUUAUAACAACAGCAGCAGCAGAUUCCGUAAGCUAUGUAUAUCAAAGUUUUGAUUACCCAUCAGACACGCUUUUACCAGAUAUGAAGGUGGGGUGGGAUUUCCGGACUGGCCAAAACCGUUUCUUGACUAGUUGGAAAGAUGCUAGUGAUCCCUCCCUUGGAGAAUAUACAUAUAGGAUUGAUAACCCUGAGUUGCCUCAGCUUGUUGUUGCUCAAGGAUCAAAGAAAGUGUUCAGGACAGGGCCUUGGAAUGGUCUUCGAUUUUCAGGUACUCCUGGUUUCGGUUGUUCGAACCAAACCUUUUUUGAUACGAACCUUUGUCUACAAUACCAAUUAGAUGUAUUACACAUACGAGGUUAUUGAUGCUUCUAUUCUAACAAGAGUGACAAUGACUGAAUCGGGAUUGGCUCAGCGGCUAGUGGUGAAUGAAGGGAGCAGUGAAUGGGCAGUUCUGUACACUCUGCAGAACAAUCAGUGUGAUGUUUAUGGCGAGUGUGGGGCAAAUGGCAUUUGCAAGAUUUACAAUUCACCGAUUUGUGAAUGCGUGCAGGGGUUUGUUCCCAUAUCUCCAAAGGAAUGGGAGUUCUCUAACUGGACAAGUGGGUGCACGAGGCGGACAAAACUGCAUUGUGAGAAAGGGGAACGUUUUGUGAAGAUUAAUAAUGUGAAACUGCCAGACUUGUUGGAUUUUCGGGUGAACAAAAACUUGCUCCGCAGUGGGGAUUGUGAGGCAGAGUGUUUAAGGAACUGUUCCUGUGUGGCUUAUGCUAAUUCAAAUAUAACCAGUGUAAACAAAGCUUGUCUGAUGUGGUUUGGCAAGCUGAUUGAUAUGCGAGAGAUUGUUGAACUAGAUGGUGACCAGAUACAUAUUCGGAUGCCAGCUUCUGAACUAGCUGAAAAUUACUCUUUCACAGGCUCAAGAACCAGUGAGGAGGACUUGGAGUUGCCACUGUUUGAUUAUGGUACAAUAGCAACCGCCACCAAUGACUUCUCCGGGACAAACAAACUAGGAGAGGGAGGUUUUGGUCCGGUUUACAAGGCCAAGUUAACACAAGAAGAGUUUGUAGCAGUAAAGAGACUCUCCAGAGAUUCUGGGCAAGGUCUUGAAGAGUUUAAGAAUGAAGUUACAAUGAUAGCUAAUCUUCAGCACUGGAAUCUCGUUAAACUUCUCGGAUGCUGCAUUGAAGGAGAAGAAAGGAUGCUAAUCUAUGAGUACAUGCCGAACAAGAGCUUGGACUGUUUUAUUUUUGAUGAAAACAAGAAGUUGUUGCUGAAGUGGCAAAAGCGGCGAGACAUAAUAAUUGGCAUUGCUAGAGGACUUCUCUACCUACAUGAAGACUCCAGGCUAAGAAUCAUUCAUAGGGACCUUGAGAGUAGCAACAUCUUACUCGACGAUGAGUUGAACCCUAAAAUUUCUGACUUUGGUAUAGCAAGAAUUUUCAGACGCAAUCAGACCGAAGCUAAAACAAAACGAGUAAUUGGGACAUAUGGAUAUAUGUCCCCGGAGUAUGCAAUUGAUGGGAAUUUUUCAGUGAAAUCUGAUGUCUUCAGCUUUGGAGUGCUUUUGUUAGAGAUAGUAAGUGGCAAAAAGAACAGAGGGUUUCAUCAUCCUGAUCACCACCACAAUCUUUUGGGACAUGUCUGGUUAUUGUGGAAACAAAACAAGGGUUUGGAGCUAAUGGAUAUAUGCCUGGAGGACUCGUAUGUUGAGUUUGAAUUGCUAAGGUGCAUUCAAGUGGGUCUGUUGUGUGUUCAAAAGCUGCCUAAAGACAGGCCAGUAAUGUCAUCUGUGGUUCUCAUGUUAAGCAAUGAGGGAGCAACUUUGCCCCAGCCAAAUGAGCCUGGAUUCUUUAUAGAAAGAGGUUCCAUGGACUUUGAUAGCUCAAGAGACCAAGGAAAAAGCAACACAGGAAACACAAUUACCAUUACCACAGAGGAACCUAGAUAAACAACCACUGUAUACAAUUCAUGGUAAAAUUGAAUACCCUUGGUGAAUA